GAUAUCUCAGUUGGUAGAGCAUGAGACCCUUAUCCUCAGGGUUGUGGGUUUGAGCCCCAUGCUCA